GGAUGUGCAGGCGAUCUGGCUGUGACAUCUGUCACCCCACUGAUCACCAGGGUUGAUUCAGUUGAUGACAGGCUGGAUAGGCAGGUGUCCCCUUCCUCUCUCACCAUUCCACGUGCAUCCCUCCUGAAGCUGUGCACAAGGUCAAAGAGGAUGACCUUCCUCGAAUAGAGGAGGACCAGUCUUCCAUCAAGAGUAUAUGAGUAGCUGUGCUCCCCUGUUAAAACCUCUAAACAAGCUCUCAAGAAUAGCAAUAGUGGCUGUCCUCUGACUCACUGAGAAGAACUCUGUGACUGUGAAGAAUCGGAAUAUUAUAGACCCAGAGCUACAAUCUUCUUAUGCUAUCUUUAGUU
rnacentral:snRNA from 1 species